rnacentral:rRNA from 1 species
GUCGAACGAGAUCUCCGGAUAGCUUGCUAACUGGAGUGAAAGUGGCGGACGGGUGCGUAACACGUGAGCAACCUGCCCUGAAGUGGGGGAUAGCUCUCCGAAAGGAGGAUUAAUACCGCAUGUGGUCUUCGGAUCAAAGGUGGCUUCGGCUGCCGCUUCAGGAUGAUCUCGCGGUCUAUCAGCUUGUUGGUGAGGUAAUGGCUCACCAAGGCUAUGACGGAUAGCUGGUCUGAGAGGAUGAUCAGCCUCACUGGAACUGAGACACGGUCCAGACACCUACGGGUGGCAGCAGUCGAGAAUCAUUCACAAUGGGCGCAAGCCUGAUGGUGCGACGCCGCGUGGGGGAUGAAGGGCUUCGGUUCGUAAACCCCUGUCAUCUGUGAGUAAGACUCCCAAUAAAAGCUUGGGAGGUUGAUAUUAGCAGAAGAGGAAGGGACGGCUAACUCUGUGCCAGCAGCCGCGGUAAUACAGAGGUCCCAAGCGUUGUUCGGAUUUACUGGGCGUAAAGAGUGCGUAGGCGGCUAGAAAAGUUUGGUGUGAAAUCUUCGGGCUUAACCCGGAAACUGCACUGAAAACUAUCUGGCUAGAGGAUCGGAGAGGAGAUUGGAAUUCUCGGUGUAGCAGUGAAAUGCGUAGAUAUCGAGAGGAACACCAGUUGCGAAGGCGGAUCUCUGGACGGUUUCUGACGCUGAGGCAC